rnacentral:tRNA from 1 species
GGGCGGAUGCUGGCGAAUGCCGGUCGGACUACUUGGAAAGAGCGCCCGCCCAAAAGGCGGGAGGUCGGCGGUUCAAUUCCGCCUCCGGUCCA